rnacentral:lncRNA from 1 species
UAAAUAAGGGUAACACUCAAUCGUGGUGCAAAAGUGUGUAACACAAAUGAAUGUGUGGGACUAGGAUCUAUUAACACUCUAGCUAAAUUUUUAGAGAUAAGAUACAUACCUUGGAUGAUGUUUCGAUUCACUUCAGCAUCCGAUGCUUUGGAGCUUUCAUUUGUCCUUCAUAAGUGGGCAAUUAAGAAUUAGAUGUUAUUGGCUACCACAUUUGAAACAAGAUCGAGUGACACAAUGGCACGACUGAUUGCCAUGAUUUUUCCCACAAAUAUGGCAGGACAACGCCUUACCGAGUGCUGAUGGUGGUUAGGAGAUAUUUUUGUUGUCAUUCUAGGCCUUUUAUCUUGUAAACCAAACACUAGAGUCAUCCUUCUCAGAGGUAC